rnacentral:rRNA from 1 species
UACGGACGGGGCAAGCGUUGUUCGGAAUCAUUGGGCGUAAAGGGCGUGUAGGCGGUUUCAUAUGUCCGCUGUGAAAACUCGAGGCUCAACCUCGAGAUGUCGGCGGAAACCACUUGGCUAGAGUCCGGAAGAGGAGAGUGGAAUUCCUGGUGUAGCGGUGAAAUGCGCAGAUAUCAGGAAGAACACCUAUGGCGAAGGCAGCUCUCUGGGACGGUACUGACGCUGAGACGCGAAAGCGUGGGGAGCGAACAGG